UUUAAAUGUCCGACAAUAGAACUCCAACGAUUUUAAAACUAUUUUCAUGUCCGAUAGUAGAAUAGAAGAACUUCAUUGAAUUUUGAAUAUCUCCAAGUGUCCGACAAUCCAUCCAUCCUUGAUUCCUUUCCGUACAGUCAAACGUGGAGGAAUCUUUUGGCUCCGUCAGUAGGUGGCUAAAAUCAAGUUGUCCCCCCAGCCGCCAGAUGACGCGAGUGUCGUUGAGGGGACGAAAUUUUCGCCAUUUUGUUCCGAAACGCCAAGUGAAAAGGCAAUCUGGCAUAUAAUUUUCAUUUGGCCAAAUAAUCGAUCACGUGGACUGAAACUGCUUUCCAAUUUGCCGAAAUGUCGUCGGUUAUUAGCUUUACCUGUUCGGAUGCACGUCUUAUCUCACGCCGAAACACUACAGAGUUGGUGUUCAGGUUGGAGAUCCCGUUGCUUAACUGUUGCAGAAUGUGAGAACUCAACAAAGUCUGAGCUACAUGGUCGGCAUCAUUACAGUGAUUUCGUUGGAGCCAGCUGGUAAAAGGUGUAAUCGAGUCAAGUUGAGCUGCUGCUGCUGCAUGCAGUUUAUCGAGCUGGUGUUAUCCUGAAGUGUCAUUGCAGGAAGACUUUUUGAAAUGGACUUGAUGAUACUUAAACUAUGCCUGUGCAGUGGUUUUGCAGCCUGUUUCCAGUUGAGAGAUGUGAUUAUGCAGCUGAUACAGGAUUGAAGAAAAAGAACUGAAGUAGCUGUGCUGGUGUUCUCCUGAAAUUGCUGUGCCACAGGAGUUGCAGAUAGUGUUUGGUUCCUCAUAGAAGUUUGUUUAAAGAGUUUGGAGAUGAUCAUCCACUUCUGACUAUAACUUAUGUGAAACUUCAAAGUUGUAAGAAAUAUACAAGUCAAGUGCUAAA
rnacentral:lncRNA from 1 species